rnacentral:rRNA from 1 species
GUGCCAGCAGCCGCGGUAAUACGUAGGGUGCGAGCGUUGUCCGGAAUUACUGGGCGUAAAGAGCUCGUAGGUGGUUUGUCGCGUUGUUCGUGAAAACUCACAGCUUAACUGUGGGCGUGCGGGCGAUACGGGCAGACUAGAGUACUGCGGGGGAGACUGGAAUUCCUGGUGUAGCGGUGGAAUGCGCAGAUAUCAGGAGGAACACCGGUGGCGAAGGCGGGUCUCUGGGCAGUAACUGACGCUGAGGAGCGAAAGCGUGGGGAGCGAACAGGAUUAGAUACCCUGGUAGUCCACGCCGUAAACGGUGGGUACUAGGUGUGGGUUCCUUCCUUGGGAUCCGUGCCGUAGCUAACGCAUUAAGUACCCCGCCUGGGGAGUACGGCCGCAAGGCUAAAACUCAAAGGAAUUGACGGGGGCCCGCACAAGCGGCGGAGCAUGUGGAUUAAUUCGAUGCAACGCGAAGAACCUUACCUGGGUUUGACAUGCA